rnacentral:rRNA from 1 species
AUUGAACGCUGGCGGCAGGCCUAACACAUGCAAGUCGAGCGGAUGAAGGGAGCUUGCUCCUGGAUUCAGCGGCGGACGGGUGAGUAAUGCCUAGGAAUCUGCCUGGUAGUGGGGGAUAACGUCCGGAAACGGGCGCUAAUACCGCAUACGUCCUGAGGGAGAAAGUGGGGGAUCUUCGGACCUCACGCUAUCAGAUGAGCCUAGGUCGGAUUAGCUAGUUGGUGGGGUAAAGGCCUACCAAGGCGACGAUCCGUAACUGGUCUGAGAGGAUGAUCAGUCACACUGGGGAAUGGGAACCGUGCCUGGGCCACCGGGAGGGCGCAGGGGGGAAUAUUGGGCAAUGGGGGGAAGGCUUGUGCCGGCAUGCCGCGUGUGUGAAGAAGGUCUUCGGAUUGUAAAGCACUUUAAGUUGGGAGGAAGGGCAGUAAGUUAAUACCUUGCUGUUUUGACGUUACCAACAGAAUAAGCACCGGCUAACUUCGUG